GGAAUAUUGCGCAAUGGGCGAAAGCCUGACGCAGCAACGCCGCGUGGGGGAUGAAGGUUCUCGGAUUGUAAACCCCUGUCAGGAGGGACGAACAGGUGUCGGGGAAUAUCCGGCACCGCUGACGGUACCCCCAGAGGAAGCACCGGCCAACUCCGUGCCAGCAGCCGCGGUAAUACGGAGGGGGCAAGCGUUAUUCGGAAUUAUUGGGCGUAAAGGGCGCGUAGGCGGCUUGGCAAGUCAAAGGUGAAAUCCCUCAGCUCAACUGAGGAACUGCCUUUGAAACUGCCUCGCUAGAGGCCGGGAGGGGGUAGCGGAAUUCCCAGUGUAGCGGUGAAAUGCGUAGAUAUUGGGAGGAACACCAGUGGCGAAGGCGGCUACCUGGACCGGUACUGACGCUGAUGCGCGAAAGCGUGGGGAGCA
rnacentral:rRNA from 1 species